ACCUACGGGAGGCAGCAGUGAGGAAUAUUGGUCAAUGGGCGGAAGCCUGAACCAGCCAAGUCGCGUGAGGGAUUAAGGCCCUAUGGGUCGUAAACCUCUUUUGUCAGGGAGCAAUGGCGUCCACGUGUGGGCGUAUGGAGAGUACCUGAAGAAAAAGCAUCGGCUAACUCCGUGCCAGCAGCCGCGGUAAUACGGAGGAUGCGAGCGUUAUCCGGAUUUAUUGGGUUUAAAGGGUGCGCAGGCGGAGGUGCAAGUCAGCGGUCAAAUUGCGGGGCUCAACCCCGUACUGCCGUUGAAACUGCAUC
rnacentral:rRNA from 1 species